AUUUGAUCACUGAAUUUUCUGACCUGUCAUUGUGGAGCCGACCAAGUAGUGUUGCAACAAGGCUGAAAAUCGGAUUAGCUGCAUUUAGAAGAGAAACUUAAACCACUCCAGGUAAAAUAACCUUGUAAAGAAAAAAGUAAGAGUAUUUCAGAGGCCUUGGCUAGGUUCAUGAUGAUACAGGACCUUGUCUGAACAAAGUGAUUUCAAAAUUUGAGCUUAAAAUGACACCCUGAAAUCCAGUCAAUGUGCCUCAUUACUUUUCAGAGAACAUUAUUCUUGAGAGAAUGUUGGCUUGACAUGUGAAAACUUUGAAUACUUAGAAAUGGCAGGUGUAGUAGUACACUUUGCCAGUUACUCAGAUACCCCUUUUUUAUUUUCAUAGAUAUUCUGGGAUAAUUCCUUUUUUUUUUUUUUUUUUUACUAUAUAUAUGUGCAUGCUGAUGAAAGCAAAAAAGAAAGCACAUCCUUGGAUCUGAGAAGGCACGCGUGUGGUGAGAUGGAAGCAAGGACACGCAUAAAGGAAAUUUAGCACCUCUUGGAUCAAACCUUGAAUGCCACAGUGCUAGGUGUUUAACUGAUGUCCAGGAAGGAGAGAAACUAAUAUUAUGAUGAAAUACAAUGAAUGUGUUGGAUAUGAUGGAAGAAAAACAUUUGCAGAUAAUCUGAGUACAGCUGUGACAUCAUCAGGAACAUUCCUCUUUUAUGGAGUUCCUUAAUUCAUAAGUCUUAACCGUGAAUCAAAGGAGAUGAUAAUUCCAAGAAAAGAUACUUUACCAAGUUCAUUUUUAAUCCCAAGAAUCGGUGCCACUGGAUCUCUAUUGCAAUAUUCCUCAUUCAGGUGUUCGUCACUGCCAUCUCUGGUCCUAGGAGUACCCCUUGGCGAUAUGAUUGUGAUGACUGAAUAGGAAACUGAUGCCAUUUCUUCUGACACCAUCUUCAUCAAACCAAAAGAUGGUCUUCAUAAUGUAUGGAGACUCUUUCGUGUGUUGCAGUGGACACUCCUUGCAGAUCAGAAAAACCGGACUGAGAAAGCUCAUGUUUUAAAGUAAUCUAAAGAGUGUAAUUGGAGAGAAUUGUAACCAGGCCUGUUGACAUUGAAUUGUUGCCAUUGGACUAAAUCUCAGGAGCUUGAAUGCCAGAGACGUUAUUACACAGAAUCUCAGGAUGGUGUAAUUGCAAGGCUUCAUUUCAGUGCUCCCAUAAGUAUUAAGUGCAUGUAUUUAUAAUUUUCACUUAUCACAGGAUCAACUUAAGAUUAUUUCAUAAAAAAUCAUCUUGUUCAAGAUUUUAAAGGUAUAGAAAUUUGUGAAGUAUGGUAUUUUUAACUCAUGCCCUUUUCCCCUCAUAAUUCUAUUCUCCAACGUUAUCUACUGUCAGUGUAGUUUUGUGCACAUCUAUUUGGGGUGUGUUGAUAAACAGAUUGAUAUGCAACUCUCUUUUUGGCCCAUAUUAUGUCUAUAAAUUUUCUAUGCCGUAAAAAGGCAUACAGAUAAAUUAUUUUGAUAAUUUCAGAGAAUUGGAACUGCUAGGACUAGGGAUGUCCAAAAAUUUAUGUUUUGAGUCAAAACUACAGCUUUCCCCCUAAUCAUAGAGAGUCCUCAUCAAUAUUGUCUCCCAGUGUUUGUUCAUGAGAGUUCUGUUUCCUAAAAUGGUACACAUGUUAGAUGUCAGUGUUUUAAUCGUUAACAAUGCGAUAUUACGAAGAAAUUGCUUUUUUUCUUCUCUUGUUUGUCUCCAUCAUCUUCGUAUAUCCUUAAUCCUUACUAGUCAUUUGUGUUAUUUCAUUUUCCUCUGCUUUUUUUUUUCCAUUUCCCUUGGAGUAUGAGUGUCUGUGUUGCUCAUUUCUAAAAGCUCAUUUAUAACUAAAGAUGUUAACCAUAUGUCAUGCAUUGCAAGUGAAAUACCAUGUUUUCUUUUCGGCAUCAUUUUACUGUGGUGUUUUAUUUUUUGGUUGUACAAAAGUUAUGUAUUGAAAUACAAUAAUGUUCUGUUUUA